rnacentral:tRNA from 1 species
CAUUUCAGAGCUUGUUAUAAAGCAUCUUAUUUACAUUAAGGAGUUAGUUGUGUGAUUCAACUUGGAUUGA